CAAUGACAACCUCCACGAGUAUACAAGCCCCACCACAACAACAAAGAAUAUCUAUGAUCCGUACCAAAAGACUAAGGUGAUUGACCCGUGGAGCUCACACUUCGAGGUUGUGGAGAGAGCACAUCUAAAGGCGACACAUCACCAUACUGCUUAGGCUUCGGAGUGAAACCCCGUCGACACACCCAACAAGUUCCUAUGUUUAAUCAUUUUGUCUUGUAGGUUGUGGAGAGAGCGCAUCUAAAGACGACAUGUCUUCAUAUCGAAAAUUGUACCAACACACGUGGUUUGUCACAAGUCAAUAUUCUAUCAUAUUUACUAAAACCGCAAAGAA